GAUGAACGCUGGCGGCGUGCCUAACACAUGCAAGUCGAGCGAUCUUCUUCGGAAGAGAGCGGCGGACGGGUGAGUAACGCGUGGGUAACCUGCCUCAUACACAUGGAUAACAUACCGAAAGGUAUGCUAAUACAAGAUGAUAUAAGAGAUUCGCAUGUUUUUCUUAUCAAAGCUUUUGCGGUAUGAGAUAGACCCGCGUCUGAUUAGCUAGUUGGUAAGGUAAUGGCUUACCAAGGCUUCGAUCAGUAGCCGACCUGAGAGGGUGAUCGGCCACAUUGGACCUGAGACACGGUCCAAACUCCUACGGGAGGCAGCAGUGGGGAAUAUUGCACAAUGGGCGAAAGCCUGAUGCAGCAACGCCGCGUGAGCGAUGAAGGCCUUCGGGUCGUAAAGCUCUGUCCUCAAGGAAGAUAAUGACGGUACUUGAGGAGGAAGCCCCGGCUAACUACGUGCCAGCAGCCGCCGUAAAAC
rnacentral:rRNA from 1 species